AGCGGUGGAAGCUGCUGGACGCGGCCUCAUGGAAUGAAAAGAGACAGUGAAGUGAAUCAGAUGUGCACUGUGUGACACUUUGAACCGGGCCAACAGCCCAAACCCAGGUCGGACACAGAAUGGGACAGCGUGUCCUCGCAAACCAGUGGACACAGACGUAGAAGACACUGAACUGAAGGAACCAAACUUUUCUUACCUCCUGGUCCCAGACAGCGACACCUCUCCCUCCUUUCCUCUCCCUAUUCCGUCUGUCGCUUUCUCGGAACAAAAUCCUUCCAGUGUCUCUGCAGUGACAAAUCCAGGCUUAAAUGAGUGAAUUAAAUGUGUACUGUGGGCUCGGACAGCGGCCGGUUUAGCAGCGGAGGAGCGAAGGUCCCGAGUGUCAAGAAUGCCGCUGUUUGACUGACUGACCAACCAUGCUGCGUUCAAUUACCGUCGGAAAUGUGGCCACUGUCACUGAGUGCGUUGAGCUUGCAUUGUUUGAGCGGUCACAUCAACAGGGCGACUGUGGCUCAGUGGCAGAGUGGUUGUGGGUUCCUUUCCUGGCUACAUGCUCAUGUGUCCUGAGCAAGACUCUUAACCCUUAAAGUUACUCCUUACCACUGUGCUGGAAGUGUGUGAAUGAGAGGGUAAUAAAUGUGCUGCAUACAGAUGGCAAAACUGCAAUAUAAA